GACUGAGCCACCCAGGCACCCCUUAAAUUUGAAACAAUACAGAUUAACAUGGCCCCUAUGCAAGGGAGACAUGCAAACUUAUGACGUAUUCUUUAUGUUU
ensembl:snRNA U6 U6 spliceosomal RNA